UGAUCUGUGGGCACAGGGAGAAUGGGGUUUAGUGCCCCUGUCCCGGGCGGCCGCCGGAGCAGGCGCCGAGGGGAGGCCGGUGUGCUCCGAGCAGAGAUGCGGGGCCGAGCGGCAUCUCUGUGCUCUGGGGAUGGUUUGAUUCCCGAAUCAAACCCGGAGCCACCUCCGGCCGCCGCUCGGAGCGGAACCGGCCCUCCCGGCCUGGAGGUUUCAGCUUGGGUUGAUUUCUGCGGCCUCGGCAGUGCAUCUCUGCUUUUGGGGCAUUAAGAUUCAGAAUGCAUCCAGGUCCUCCCGUUUAUCCGGGCAGUGGAUCUGCUGCAGGGACAGACCAAACAUCGGUAGUGGGAGAUAGCCCGGACCCGAGAGCAUCGUGUGGGUGUAAAACAGAGCCCGGGACUUCUCCAGUGGAGGAUCCUUUUGGCAUAUGCAGGUGUUUGUCAGUCACACACUCGAAGGACAGUUCCCUGCAGCAAAGCAUUUCUACAUUUCCAGGCGUGAGGUGAUCCCAGUGCAGCCACAACAACACUGCACAGAGGCUGACUCGCAGUGACCCUGCAAACAGGACUGAGCAGAGACACAGGUAAUCCCCUGGGGAUGCCAGAUGGGUGGAGUGAACAACAGAGAGCUUGGCCUUUCCAGAACUUCGAGAAACAGUUGCUCUAAGGUCACUUUAACUGCCUCCUUCCAAGGCUGCUCUCCUCUUCAAGGCUACUAAUCAUUUGAAAGCAGCCAGGGCUUCAUUUACUACCUUGAACUAAUCUGGUGGAGAGACUAUGUUGAAAGUCACAGGGUAUUUAAAAUACACUCAAAAGAGACGGUGUUGAUAUUACUUUUAUACCUGGGGCCAUUUCUCAAUAUAUGGAAUCAACAUCCUCAGUCUGGCUUCCACAGCAUCUCUCAGGAAUUCAUCUAGAGGCUUCUUCCUGAGUAAGGAAAAAAAAGUUAAGAAGAAUAUCCAAGUUAAACUCAAUUCUGAUCUUGAAAGAUCAACCUCCACCUAGUUGAGCAAUAGAUAAGCAAAGUAUUAUAUAUCCUUCAUGCCUUUUGUCCUAGUCUGUAUCUGGGAAGAUGGUUUUAUUUGGGUAAUUAUACUUUUAACUUAAAGCAUCUGUGUUCCAGGUGGCCUCUGUGUCUACCCAGCUCCCAAAAUCUACAAAGGAAGACAUUUGUUCACACCCAGUACUCACUCUGCUUCACCCAGCUGCACCAAUUUCUGCUCCUUCCUCAGCAGCUCGGACAAUUUGGUGUUGCACUCAGACACAAAGUGCAGGAUCAAUUCACUGCCAUCACUGUGAAACAGCCCU